rnacentral:lncRNA from 13 species
CGGAGAGGUCUAUGUAUGGAGGCAUCUGCUCCCUGCAGCCCCAUGAGUAAUAGCCUGGGUGUGGAGUGAGUGGGAGAAACAUCUGCUCAGCAACAGAAACUGACUGCUGGGCACGCAGAACCAGGCCACAAGGAGAGAGGGAGGAGACCCGCGACAGUGGGCUGCCAGCGGCCAGAGGCAGUGUGCUAGCAAACAGCUUCUCCUCUCUCCCUCGCUCCUUCCCUAAUAGGAGUGGAAUCCACACUGGGAUAGAAGGACACCAGCCAGGCAUAUUCGAUUAAGGACCACCCUAAUGACCUCAUUUCAACUAAAUCACCUCUGUGAAGACCCUGUCUCAAAUAAAGUCACUUUCUGAGGU